AAUACCCCACAGUUCUGAUGUGUUGACAACUCAAAUCUUGUAUCACGUUAAUGGGGUAUCUACAACAACGCGACCGUGUGGAAACAGUAGCUAGGCAGAGACAACAUGAAGAAUGCUAGGAGCUCUACUACAGCUGACAUGAGCCUUCUCCUCACACAGGCUGCUGAGGUAACGUAUACUCUGUAAUAUAAGUACUUGGAAGGCAGCUAGACCUGAUGAUGUACCAGGCUGGGUUCUCAGGGACUGUCCUGUGGAAUUAACUGAGCAUGUGUGACUGCUUCUGAGAAUGGCAUCAGUACAGAAAGAUAUUUAAUCUGAAUGGGACUUAAAGAACAACCCACAUUCUGUCGUCUUCCUCUUGUGCUGGUGCAGUCAGGUAGGAGGAAACUGGAGAAAAACCUGCUGUGUCAUAAUGAAAAACAAGACGACUGCUCAGUGUAAAUCACCCCACUGGGUCUGACGACAUGACAAAAGAAUCAUGUUACCAGGAAAACCUGUACAUCCAGAUCACCUAGGCAAAUAGCUCUCUCUCACACCAUUGAGCAGCAGAUGAGAAAUGUGAAUGUGAAUAAGAUUGUCUUAGAGUUGUGACAUUGUCUGGAAAUCUUGUCAAACAUCACAAGACUUUACUGAAUACGUCAUGGAAUAAGAGAAGGAAAUUAUCAUUUCAGAUAGUGAUUUUAAUGGUUCACAACAUGAGGAAUGGGCCUAGAAGAUUGACAGAUACGCUUUCCAGACUGCUCUGGAACGCUGUGGCAAGAAGCAAUCCCUAGAGACAACACACACAUAAGGAGACAUUAGAACACCUUCAUGGGUUCCUUACUGUGCUGGAGAAAAACCUCAGUGAACUGCACAUCUGACUGGUGAGGUCCUUAGGGCAGUGUUUAUUAAAGUGUCCUGUCAUGGUAGGAAGGAGCAAGGUAAUAAACAAGACUACCACCUUGAAAAAGUAGUCUAUAAAUAAUUUCUGAAAUUGCACGGCAAAAAUUAAAUCACUUCUAACACGGAGAUAGAGAAAAGGGACAAUAAGACAUUUGAGCUGUGUAAAAACAAAAAAACUGCCUGAGCUUGCCAAGGAUUUGUUACUUCACAAAGAACUCCAUGGGCAUAUAACAGCUAUACUGAACAAAUAAAUAGGACCAGCAUCAGUAAUUAAACUCUAAUGUUUCUUCUUAUUGUAGUUUUAAAUAUAGAAUUAUCUUCUUAGGAUUAGUAUAAUAGCAUCAUCCAUCUAUUUAUGGGUUCCAGCCAUGACUUUAUUCUUCUAGCUUCCCCAUGUCACAUCCGAAUCAUGAAUGAAGAAGUGCUAUUAUAAACACUCAGAAUUAGAAACCUCAGUGCUCUAUUGCCUUGAACCAAACCAGGGCCUAUUUUGAUAUUUACUGAAAAUCUGGAAUUAAUUGCUGGAAUUAAUUUUAAAUGUCUACCUGAAAACUAAACUUUUUCUAUUAGCUAGUUGGUAGACAUUAGCACUCACAGACCUUUCAUCACAACUGGCCUGCCAAGAACAAUUGUACCAGCAAAUAAUUAGGAUUCCAAAACAUUUCAUUCAUGUAUUUGGGCAGGGAGGCAUCAAAUGUAUGUUUCUUAUAGAACAACAAUAUAGACGUGGUUUAUUGGGGAAGAUCUUCAGCCCGGGUGAUAUGGCUAGGUGGCUCUGCAGGCCAACUCACCUUCAUCUGUGAGUGGGCUGCAAUGAUAAUGGAGCGUCCAUCUGUUCUCUUACACAAGAGAAGAUACUAUGGCUUGUUUAUUUAAACCUUGAUCCUUUUGUUUUUACAACUACAUGGUCACAUAAAUCAGAUGUUUUGAGUGUUGGAUGUUUAUUCACCACAAGUUGUUGAGGAGUCUCUCAUCUAACAUACCAGUUUCUCGGGGCAGAACUGAAUCCCAGUUCAGUUCGUGAAGACCCCCAGUCCACUGUUAUUCCUGGUCCCAGCUCCCUUCACACAAUCAAGAGCAAAAGGAUUCUCUGUUAUGGUGGACACAGUGCAAAUACAGAAAUACUGCAUAAAACCAUGCGGCAGGCAUGUGUGGCCAUGGCAUAAAUGUUGUUUCAUGAUAGACACACUAAUCUGGAGCAGAGUGGUGCAAUUAAAAAAUGAGGUUAGGUUAGACAGAAUAUAUAAUCUAAUCCUAUUAACAUCUCUCAUUUCCUUUGAAAGUCAUUGAAAUGACAUAAGAAUAAUAUUAAUGUUUACAUAUUUGUUAAUAUGAUGAAUUUAAAUGAUUAAAAUUAUAUAAUUUUCUGUGCAUAAUGACAUGUCAAGUGUCUGAAUCACAUUAGUAGUCACAAUAGAAUUGUUUUUUUUUCUAUAAUUAGAUCAGUAGUACUUAGUAAUUGAGAUAUAUUUUUAAUGGGGUGAUGUUCGUGCUCAAAAUGCCAAUAUGAGAAAUUAGACAUAUCAUUAUGUGCCUGCGUGAAGUAAGGAAAGUGCAUUCAACUUGUGUUUGCACUAUGAACAGGUCAGAGAAGGUGGUAGUGAAAGCACUCUUUUAAACCAAAAUGGGUUCAGAAAUACCGUUGCAACAACAGAUUUUAAGAGUCACCACUGCCUUUGAAGCUUCUGUAAAAAAAUAACUCAUUAGGUGAAAUUAGGAUUUUAAAUCUAGAAACC